rnacentral:rRNA from 1 species
UUGGCUAGAUUUUGUUUUAACCCGGGUGAUAAAGUUUGGGUAUGAUCAUGUUGGCUUCGGUUGAUGUGAUUCUCUGCCUAAGCGUAUUACCAUGAGCAAAUCACAAUGCUCAAAAUAGGCCCUUUGUGCCUGAAUGUGUUAGCAUGGAAUAAUGAAAUAUGACCCUAUUCUUGUUUUGUUGGUAUACUUGACCUUGGGAAAUGAUGAAUAGGAACGGUUGGGGGCAUUUGUAUUUGGUCGCAGAGGUGAAAUUCUUGGAUUGACCGAACACAAACAACUGCCAAAGCAUUUGACCUAGGACGUUUCCAUUGAUCAGGGACUAAAGUUGAAGGAUCGAAGACGAUUACAUACCGUCGUAGUCUUAACCACAAACUAUGCCGACUAGCGAUUGGAUCCUCGCCACUGGCAGGAUUCAACAUCUUAUCGAAAGUAAAGUUUUUGGGUUCUGGGGGGAGUAUGGGACGCAAGGCUGAAACUUAAAGGAAUUGAAGGAAGGGCACCACCCGGAGUGGAGCCUGCGGCUUAAUUUGACUCAACACGGGGAAACUCACCAGGUCCAGACAUUAUAAGGAUUGACAGAUUGAAAGCUCUUUCUAGAUUUUAUGGGUGGUGGUGCAUGGCCGUUCUUAGUUCGUGGAGUGAUUUGUCUGGUUAAUUCCGAUAACGAACGAGACCUUAUUAUGCUAAUUAGCUGGGCCAACUUUUUAGUUGGUUGAAAAAGUUCUUUCCUACAUCUCGGUCUAGCCAGCUUCUUAGAGAGACUACUGA